UUAUUAAACAUGCUGAAGAAUUUUAUAGAUAAAUAAAAGUAGAGAAUUGGUUAAUCUGUACUAAAAAAGGCAAGAGGGUAAAAAAAAAUGGCAAUGAAGAAGCAGGAGAAGAAACCACAACUUAUGGUGAAGAGAAAUGGUUGCAUGGCCGGAAAAAUAAAUUGUCAUAUGAAAAAGAAAAACGGUCGCAUGGAGAAGAUAACUUUCAUAUGGGAAAGAGAAACGGUCACAUUGAAAAGAUAAAAUGACAUAUGAAAUUAUGGCGAAGAGAAACGGUUGCAUGGCCGGAAAAAUAAAUUGUCAUAUGGAAAAGAGAAAGGUCGCAUGGAGAAGAUAACUUUUAUAUGGGAAAGAGAAACGGUCACAUUGGAAAGAUAAAAUGUUAUAUGAAAAAGAGAAACGGUUGAAGGAAGAGGAGAGGUCGGUUCAAAGAGAGCAAAAGAUAAAAUGUCAUAUGAAAAAGAGAAACGAUUGAAGAAAGAGAAGAGGUCGGUUCAAAGAGAGCAAAAAAAUGUAAAAAAUCUAAAAAAAAGGAGGGCUUGCCAUGUCAUCAUUUUUAUUGGGGAUUCAUACAGAGUUAUAGAUAUGUAUUUAUAAAUAUUUUAAUAUAUAUAUUCAAGCUUAUAUAUAGAGAGAGAGAAAAUUGGGCUGGAAUACUAUGACAGUAUUUGGGCUCUUUUGCUAUCGAGCUUUUAACCCUUAGAUAAAAAAUUAUAGGAUUAGGAUAAUAGUGGCCUCAUAGAAUUUAGUGCUGGUCCUCCUAGGGAUGAGUGGGUGGUUGGUUGAAUAGU
rnacentral:lncRNA from 1 species